ACCCAGCAGGCCCUGGCCAGGAAGACCGAGCCCGUCCCCAAGCGCGCACGUCAGCAAUGACGCCAGCCCUUGAUCCCACCCGUCAUUGAACCAUACCCCCUCUCCCGCUGACGCCCGGACCGGCGUGUCAUCCCCGACCCCGAGCCGGUGUCCACCUCCAUGGCGGAGUCCGGCCCGAGCACCGCCUCGCCGUGUAGCCCCGCGCGGCCUCUCGAUCCCUGCAUGAAUGGAGGCGCUCCACCGCACCUCGACCCGAGUUCGCAGUCCUCGAAACCACUCGAAUCCGAGCUCCAAUUUCUUGCGGUGCCGCCGCCGCCGCCGCCACAGCUCCAGUCGACGCCAGAGACCACCACCGCCGUCUCCGAGGAGAGCAACGGAACUGCCGAGUCAAGCCGAGCCUCCCGAAUUCGAGUUCGAGUACUCCCUGGCGCCGCUAAAGCUCCGACAGAGCCCAACCGACGCCAGAGAACACCACCGACGUCUCCCAGGAAAGAAACGGAACCGCCGACUCAAGGCAAGUCUCCUGGACGCCUUCCCGAGGAGCAAGGAUCACCGGAGCCAGCUCAGCGAUAAGCCCCAAAGCCGCCGGCGCCGCCUGAACGCAUCUGAACCAAUAGAUCAAAACGUUCCACAUAUAUGUUGUUGAGAAAGUUGCACAGCAUCUUGGUAUGGAUGAUCCUUCAAAACUUCGCCUUACAAAGCACAUCCCGCAUUUACAGCAACCAGAUGUCUGACAUUUUUUAUUAUGAGACACUGACAUUCCUUUGCAGAACUGCAAGGUCCGAUAACAUUGAGUUGCUUUUCACCAAGCUACACACAAUGAGGUUGAGCUAUCACAAAGUGAUGCUGGACUUAGCUAUUUCAGGUCAACAAUAACAAGAUAUCGAAGGUGUACCAGCCAACUGAGAAAAUAGAUGCAGUUCAUGAUCCAAACCUCUUCAUGUUGAGGAGAAAAUAAUCAUCGGGUUUUCAAGUGUUAGCAUCGUGUGUAAGCCCAGCAUCAUUUCUAAGUAUAUGGCAUCCACGAAUUUCCCGAUAGUUUGUUCUGCACCAUGCUGCCUCAUGUAGGAUUUUGGCGCUCGUGAUCUACCUUAGGCAAUGUGUGAUGCCAUUUGCAACCUUCUUGUUGAGCAAGCUGAAACAGGAGUAACUCCAUUAAUCAUUCUGUAGCUGCAGGAGUGGGCGAUACUCAGCUGCGGACAGGCGCUGAUGACGGUGGCCGAGCUAGACUCCGUCAGGGACAGGGCACGCAUGUAUGUCGAGGCGCUCCAGGGCAGCGUGUGGAGCAGUUGUCUCUGGUCUCAUUUGAGUUUUGCUUCUGAGCUAUUAUCGAUUUCCCAUUUCUUUCGUCUGCACUAGAAGAUUGACCAUGUUCGAGGCUGUUAAGCACAGCGAUGUCCUGAUGGAGUCGUUAGAUUGUCCGAUGACCAAACCAGUUGCCGAGCAAACAUUGUCGCCGAUGCAGGAGCUGAACCCGAAGGGUAGAUCUGUGAGGCGCAGGGGGCAGCGGCUGCGGAGGGAGGAGGUUCACCAUGGGCAUCCAAGUAGUCGAUUGGUGAGAUGAAUCCUGAACCCCCUGGCUGGACCAAAGAUGAUGACUUGGAAACGAAACAGGUUGCAAGUUCAUCUGUAUCACCCAAAUUAAGAGAGGCAAUUAAUGUUUGCAAGAAAAAGAAAAGUUUGCAAGGAAAGAGAAGACAAUGGAACAUCAGGCCAUUUCUGUGAAAGAAUGCAAGUUUAAAGAGAUUAAUGAACUGAAAGCCCAAACGAACCAAGGGUACUCUAAUAUGGCUCGAAGGCUGACACCAGUGAAACACAGCCAUGGCUCGGGGCGUCGAUGUCCAUGCCGGUCCGUGGAUCGGGAAACUUGCUUUCCGUGAAUUGCGACAGCAACCGAGUUAAUGCAUGGAUGGGGUGCAGGAUACAAUUAUCUCCUACCUCAUGCGCGUGGAUCCUUCCAGGGAGAGCGGUGGCCUCGGCGGACAAACUUCUGUACGAAACAAGAAGGUAGGUGCUGAAGAUGGAGUUUUUGAUGCAGCCAAUUAGAUUGCUCGAAUAUAACCAAUUUCUAUGUGUUCCGAGUGAAUUUUUUUUGCGGGUGACCAAUUUCUAUGUGUUCCGAGUGAUUUUUUUUUUGCGGGUGACCAAUUUCUAUGUGUUCCGAGUGAUUUUGAUAGUGCACCCUGAUAUGGAUCUUACAUUUUGCCGAUUUCGUUACGCGGUACAUGCUGAAAGAGGUGACUGACAGCUCCGAUGGAGCCUCUGCACUACCCCACUCGUCGCACUGGUUAUGGAACAGCUGGCGCCCAUGAGGAAAGUGAGUGCAGACGGGGAGAUCUGUGCGGCGGAGGCGGCGACGAAUGCAUUCGCUGCAAGGAUCUGAGCAGCCGAUUAAGCAGGACGACCCGAAAGCUCCUGGGGUGGACGCGUAGAGUGGGGAUUGGUGCUGCCGCAUCAGGCAGGAUGUUGUGUCCUAAUCGAGCUAAUGCACUCGAGAAGGCGAUUUGCGGUUUUGCCGAAAAUCCUGGAGACAAUUUGAUUGUUUCAAAAUUGGUACAAGCUUUGAUCUGCUUGCCGCAAUCCGGGCAGGGAAUCACCGGCAACGGCAGAUGAGGAAGAGGUACACAUCGGGCAGUGGAAGAGCACCGUCGAUCUGGUUUCUCUUAAUGGACUGAAGAUGAGUGGCCGAUCUGGCCGGAGUUGGAUUUAGCCGGUGAGGAAGGAGGCGAGACGUGCACUAGAAGAUUAGUAACUGCAACGGUGACAAUAAACAAUCUUUUUUUGAGGGAGGUGACAAUAAAUAAUCAAAAUUGAGCAGUAUGACUUUUUUUUAGGAAUAUGACAAUAAAUAAAUGGGUUGGCAGUGUUGUAGUCCAAAAUCUCUCCGUUCAUGCCCAUUUAGUGACUGACUUCCGAACCGGUCCUAUAGUGCCUUACAGGACCUCCUAUGUGACGCAUUUUGUGUCAUACAGCAGCUCGACGCACAGGGUUGAUGCACAACUGGCUUGGCCCACCAACCCGCUUGUUGUUUCGUUUCCUUUCGUGCGCGACAAAAUAUAGAUGAAAAUCAACCCGAACAUUUUUUGAAAUCCUGAACAAAUUUUAUAAAUAACAUUUUUUGAAUUGUGAACAGAUUUUGAAAAUGAUAUUUGUUUUUGA